rnacentral:tmRNA from 1 species
GGGGCUGAAAUAGCUUUCGACAAUUGGAUUUUACCAGGAUAGUUUGCGAGCCGACGAUACGCGUAACGUAUGUUUUAUCUGCAAAAAGUUUUGCAAGCAAGGUUGCUAGCCUAUUCCAGGCUCCAGCCUUUGCACCAGCUGUAGCCUAAUUUUUUACAGCCAUCUUGCCGCACAGGCAACAUAGUGCAUGCAGGGUGUUAUAUCGAUGUUGCUGGCUGAGCGUUCGGGCAGCGGCGGACGUGCGGGACUUUUACCGCGUAACGGCAUGUGAUAUUUUUGGGUUAUUUUUUAGUCGCAUGGCGUUAUAAAACCACCAAAUAAUCCUAUGUUCGUAGACGACUAUCAUGGUACCAGUUGGACCCGGGGGCGGUACCCGGCAGCUCCACCA